UAUAUAUAUAUAUAUAUAUAUAUAGAACUAGUCUGGUAUGCUACCAAUAGCAUCAAGGUGUCGGUGCUAUUAAGUUAAUUUAGAACUAGUCUGGUAUGCUACCAAUAGCAUCAAGGUGGCGGUGCUAUUAAGUUAAUUUUCGGCCUCUGGUAUGCUACCAAUAGCAUCAAGGUAUCGGUGCUAUUAAGUUUUCGGCCCUCAGAUGAAGGAAUGUACGGUUAGGAUGAUGUGAACAUUCUAAGGUUGAGUAAGUUGUUGGUUGAAUAAUAUAAUCUAACGGAUGAAAAUAGUCAAAAGGUUAAAUUUAACGAUGGAAAACUCGGUAGCACCAAGCGCAUCGAUANUAUGAGUAUUGGCUCCCUUAUACUCAUAAGUUUUCGGCUCUUAGAUAAUUUAUUCCAUGAUCAUUUCCAUCCGUUAGAUUAUACUAUUCAACCAACUACCCACUCAAACCUAGGGGACCACUAUUAUUCUAAGUGGGGACCGCCAUCAUCCUAACCACACAUCCCAUCAAUCAACGGUUAAAAAUUUAUGAGUAUAAGGGGUUCUAUACUCAUAAAAGUAUAGUAUCCCCAGCCUAUAUAUAUAUAUAUAUAUGAGUGAGGCUGGUAUUUUUUUGGAAGUGUGUACGGAGUCCUCCGUACUUUCAAGUCAUUUUCGAUAUUAAGACUUUUGAAUCAACGAUUGGUUCGGUUUGACUUGAUCUAGAGUAUUUGAAUUGUUUAGAAAAUAAAUUUUGUGAUUUUUCGAUAUCAUUUGUCUAGUAAUUAAAUGGACUCAAAAUCAAUAAUUUUAAUGACCGUGGUGAGCUGUUUGUAAGUUUAAUGAUGUAGAAAUAUUCAAAUCACGUGAAAUUUUAAUAGAAAAUUUUUUGUACUAUAUAAAACAAGAUUAAUAUUUUUGAUUUAAAAUUUUAAUGUUAUAUCAUCACAUUUUGUAAGAUUUUUAUUUUCAGCCGUUGAUUUUGAGCCUCUUCGAUCACUAGGCAAAUGAUAUGUACCGAAAAAUUAAAAAUUUAUUUUCUAGGUAUUUCAAAUACUCUAGAUCAAAUCUAACGGAGCCGAUCAUCGAUUCAAAAGUCCCAACAUCGAAAACGACUUAGAAGCACGGAGGGCUCCAUACUUUCAGAAGCAUACCAGCCUCACUCCGGUUAUAUAGAGUAAAGAAGAG
rnacentral:lncRNA from 1 species